GAUGAACGCUGGCGGCGUGCCUAAUACAUGCAAGUCGAGCGAAUGGAUUAAGAGCUUGCUCUUAUGAAGUUAGCGGCGGACGGGUGAGUAACACGUGGGUAACCUGCCCAUAAGACUGGGAUAACUCCGGGAAACCGGGGCUAAUACCGGAUAACAUUUUGAACCGCAUGGUUCGAAAUUGAAAGGCGGCUUCGGCUGUCACUUAUGGAUGGACCCGCGUCGCAUUAGCUAGUUGGUGAGGUAACGGACAACCAAGGCAACGAUGCGUAGCCGACCGGGGGGGGUGAUCGGCCACACUGGGACUGAGCCACGGCCAAGACUCCUAGGGGAGGCAGCAGUAGGGAAUCUUCAGCAAUGGACGAAAGUCUGACGGAGCAACGCCGCGUGGGUGAUGAAGGUUUUCGGGUCGUAAAACUCUGUUGUUAGGGAAGAAAAAGUGCUAGUUGAAUAAGCUGGCACCUUGACGGUACCUAACCAGAAAGCCACGGCUAACUACGUGCCAGCCGCCGCAGUAA
rnacentral:rRNA from 1 species